rnacentral:rRNA from 1 species
AUUGAACGCUGGCGGCAGGCUUAACACAUGCAAGUCGAGCGGAGAUGAGGUGCUUGCACCUUAUCUUAGCGGCGGACGGGUGAGUAAUGCUUAGGAAUCUGCCUAUUAGUGGGGGACAACAUUCCGAAAGGAAUGCUAAUACCGCAUACGUCCUACGGGAGAAAGCAGGGGAUCUUCGGACCUUGCGCUAAUAGAUGAGCCUAAGUCGGAUUAGCUAGUUGGUGGGGUAAAGGCCUACCAAGGCGACGAUCUGUAGCGGGUCUGAGAGGAUGAUCCGCCAAACUGGGACUGAGAAACGGCCCAGAGUCCUGCGGGAGGCAGCAGUGGGGAAUAUUGGACAAUGGGGGGAACCCUGAUCCAGCCAUGCCGCGUGUGUGAAGAAGGCCUUAUGGUUGUAAAGCACUUUAAGCGAGGAGGAGGCUACUGAGACUAAUACUCUUGGAUAGUGGACGUUACUCGCAGAAUAAGCACCGGCUAACUCUGUGCCAGCAGCCGCCGUAAGAC